AGCUUUGCGCAGUGGCAGUGUUGUAGCCAAUGAGGUUAAUUCGAGGCGCAAUUAUUGCUAACUAAUUUUGUUAGAUUGGAUAUUAGGAAAAAUUUCUUUACUGAAAG
rnacentral:snRNA from 1 species